UCUGCAGGUGCUGGGUGACAUGAAGAUAAACUGGAGACUACAGCACAUGCAGGUAACUCAUGGCUGAGAUAAAGUGACCAGAUGAAGACUUCUCACGUCAAGGAAUCUGAAUGAGCUCCACAUCACUGGGGGGCUGCGCGGGCCAGCACGCAGACUGUGAAGGU